rnacentral:misc_RNA from 1 species
UCCAACCCGAAGGUUAUUGUUUUGCUCGACGGCAAGAGUUUUCCGGUACUUUUCGAUGUAUCGAAAGUUGAAAAGAAGGAUCUUUUCACCGGAACUUUCAUGCCGUCGACUGAACUCACCGGUGGUUACCGUAUUCUUUCGUAUCUCGACCCAUCUGAACCAAACCAUGAAAAAUUGAAAAAAUUGAUGUUCUACCUUCUUUCUUCUCGUCCUGAUCAUGUUAUACCUGAAUUCCAUGAAACUUAUACAGAGCUUUUCGAAAUCCUAGAUAAGG